rnacentral:lncRNA from 1 species
CGCGUGUAUGUGUAAGAGAGAGGAGCGGAGCCUACCAUGCGCUUCCCUGGUGCGGAUCGCGGGAGAGCCCAAUCACAGGGCGAGCUGGACCUGGCUGUGAUCAUUUAUAAUCCUUGACUCCUCCGCUCAGCCACUUGUCAAGAUGACAGGGGUCAUCCAUGAAUAACACUUCAUGCUGAUGAAUGGCUCUUGCCGGCUUUCGGCUCUGAUGAGGGGUCUGCCGGCCGCUGAUUGCAAACACUAAUGAACUUACAGCACCAUUUGAAAUUCACACGCACCAACAAAGUGAGGGGGAGUGUCCUCUUGUUGGGGACGAAAAGCGCAAAUGACCUUCGGACUCCGGCAGGGGAGGGCUGCACUGAACACUUAGACUUCCUCCCAGGUCCCAGCUCUGUCCUGUUUAGAUUAUUAGCAGCACAACACCGCCCCUGCCACACUCCCUUGGCAGUGGGAGCCGAAACAACUUUACCUCCCUAAGGACACUGCCACUUUGAUCGCGCUCUGGCUUCCUGCCUCCAGCCA